rnacentral:lncRNA from 1 species
UACAGUCCAUGGGGUUGCAAAGAGUCAGACACACACACUACGUUACGGUAACUGUCACGCACCUGGCAUCUAAUGAGUUGCCAUUAAAGGUAAAAUGAAGGAUAUUUACACAAAAACAGACUACAGCAAGUUGCAACUCACAUACCUUCCACAUCACUGAAGGUGCCUGAGAAGACAGUUAAGGUAAUGAAAGAUAACCUGGUCAAGGGUCCCUUUUUGGUUCUAUCUCUGCUUCACAGUUAUCCCCGGGGAGCAUCCCUGGAUCACUCCCUGAGAGGAUGUGUGGCUUUGGACUAAUCACUUACCCUCUCUAGACUGACAUUUUUCUGGCUGGAAUGAUUCCUAAACUUUCCCUUUGCUCUGAAUUUCUACAAUUUAAGUCACCUUUAAGAUUUUGCCUGUGAAAACCAGUCCAGGAGCCCAGGGAAGCUGAAAGCUUCCUUCACUAUGUAGAAAAAGAUUAACUGCCCUAUUAAGAAAGAGAGCCAAGCACUGAAAGUAUCAGCAUUUUCCACAAAGGAUCAACUCUUGUUUCGAUGGCAACAGGCUGUGGUAGCAAAACUGCAAGCUUCCAGAGUGGGCAUGACUCAAAACCAGAGGGCCAGGGAAGACCUUUAGAAGAGCUGAUGGAAUCAAAUUAUGCCAACGACUUUCAUAAUCCUGCUCUGUGUGAGACCCAAGUGGCCCUGGGAUGUUUGCUUUCUGUUGGUCAAAGUACUAGCAGAUGGUGAAACUGAGUGAGGAAAUAUGCCCACUGUGGGUCUGUAAGUAUCUGAUAGAGUAAAGACCGUCUAUUGACUGGGCUUAGUACAUUCUGAAAACUUAAAAUCAAAUGGUCAGUUCUGACACAAAACUCUCUGGCAGGAUUUUUAAAUCAAGAGACUCUCAUUUGAAAAAGCAGAUUUAAAUAAAGAAUAGGUUUUUUGCAUAUUUGUAUCCAGUGAGAUAAAGAACAGCUUCACUGGUAAAAGUUCAAGUCCAAUUUAAAUCUCAAAGGCUAGAAUGAUCUUGUUUUGCAUAGAUGACCACCACUGUCUUUUAGCUACAAAGGUAUGCAAGAGACAGAGAAUCAGUUGGUUCGCAAGUGUUCUUGAGAGCAAUCUUAGGUAAAAUAUUAAUGGCUGUGAGCAGAGAAGGCAGACAUGGUAAAUUAAGAGUUGUACGGAGCAGCCUUCUCAUUUUUGACCCUCUGCCCUUAGCACACAGUAGACAGAAAAAAGGAGGACCUUUACAUCCUACACAGGUAUAAGCAUUUUCCUGGGGUCAUGGCCAUACAACUUCAUGUAGGGACUGUGACCAGAGAAUAACCAAUAGAUAAGGCCCUUAGGAAAACCUGACAUCCCACAUACCAAAGACUAUAAAUCAGCUACUUUAAAUAAUCAAAGAACUAAGGGAAAUCAUGUAUAAAGACGUAUAGUAUGAUAACAGUGUCUCAACAAAUAGAGAAUUUCAAUAAAGAACAGAAACUAUAUGUAAGAAAACCAAAUAAGAAUUCUAGGGUUGGAAAACACAAUUACUGAAUUAAAAAUUCUCUAGAGGGGCUCAAAGAAGAUUUGAGCAGGGAGAAGAAGGAAUUAAGAGACUUGAAGAUAGGUCAAUUGAGAUGAUCCAGUCCAAGAAACAGGAAGAAAAAGGAGUGAAGAAAAAUGAACUUAGAAGUUUAAAGAACUGUGGGGAACCCCCCAAAAUACCAGUAUAUGCAUAAUGGAAGUCCCAGGAGGACAGGGAAGAGAUAGAAAGGGGUAGGAAGAAUAUUUAAAGAAAUAAUAACUGAAAAUUUAUCAAAUUUGAUGAAAAACAUUAAACUACACAUCCAAGAAGAUAAACAAAAUCCAGAUAAGAUAAACUCAAAAAUGCAAAGAUUGAACACAUCAUAAUCAAACUUUCAAAAAUAAAAGCCAAAAAUAGAUUCUUGAAAGCAAGAGGAGAGAAGGAAUUCUUCACAAACAAGGAAUUCUUAAAGAGGCUAACAGUUGAUUUAUCAUCAGAAAUCAUGGUGGCCAGAGGCAGUGGUAUAAUACAGAAGAAACAUAUCGAAAGUACUAAAAGAAACUUGUCAACCAAGAAUUCUGUAUUUGGCAAAAUUAUCCUUUAAAGAGCCUCUUGAUGAAAGUGAAAGAGCAAGUGAAAAAGUUGGCUUAAAACUCAACAUUCAGAAAACUAAGAUCAUG